AUGAGCCUGGCUGACCUUGGUUACCUGGACUGCAAUAGGUUCUGCUGGGCUGAGCUGGGCUGGGAGCCCAAGACCAGCCCCAGCGUCUUCCCUCUGAGCCUCCAGAGUAACCUUCCAGAUGGGAAAGUGGCCAUCGGCUGUCUGGUCCACGGCUUCCUCCCACCAGUGCCUUUGAACGUGACCUGGGGUCGCAGCGGGGAAGGUAUAACCACCAGGCACUUCCCCGCGGUCAUGGAUGCCGCCGGACGCCUGUACUCUAUGAGCAGCCAGCUCGUCCUACCGGCCAAUCAGUGCCCAGACAACAAGUUCGUUAAGUGCCACGUGCAACACGACACAAGCGAGAAGGUGGUCGAUGUACCAUGCAAAGCACCACCACCACCAAAAUGCUGCUAUCCAAGCCUGUCCCUGCAGCGGCCAGCUCUAGAAGACCUGCUCCUGGGCUCAGACGCCAGCCUCACAUGCACACUGAGUGGUCUGAAGGAACCUGAAGGAGUCACUUUUACCUGGAAUCCCUCAGGUGGGAAGGAUCCUGUUCAGGGGACACCUGAGAGAGAUUCCUGUGGCUGCUACAAGGUGUCCAGUGUCCUCCCUGGGUGCGCAGAGCCCUGGAACAACGGCGAGACCUUCUCCUGCUCGGCCACUCAUCCUGAGCUCGAGGAAGAACUGUCUGGCUCCAUCUCCAAACGUACAGGGAACCCCGUGCCGCCCCAGGUCCACCUGCUGCCUCCCCCAACAGAGGAGCUGGCCAUGAAUGAGCUGCUGACUCUGACCUGCGUGGUGCGCGGCUUCAGCCCCGAGGAUGUGCUGGUGCGCUGGCUACAUGGUUCCCAGGAGCUGUCCAAGGAAGACUACCUCACCGGGCACUCACAGCAAGAGCCCAACAAGAGUGCCACCACCUAUGCAGUGACCAGCAUGCUGCGUGUAUCAGCUGAGGAGUGGAAGCGAGGAGAUACCUACUCCUGCAUGGUGGGCCACGAAGCCCUGCCCGGCGCCUUCACGCAGAAGACCAUCGACCACACGGCUGGUAAACCCACCAAAGUCAACGUGUCUGUGAUCGUGUCUGAGGUGGAUGGUACCUGCUAUUGA